rnacentral:rRNA from 1 species
UACGAAGGGGGCUAGCGUUGCUCGGAAUCACUGGGCGUAAAGGGUGCGUAGGCGGGUCUUUAAGUCAGGGGUGAAAUCCUGGAGCUCAACUCCAGAACUGCCUUUGAUACUGGGGAUCUCGAGUCCGGGAGAGGUGAGUGGAACUGCGAGUGUAGAGAUGAAAUUCGUAGAUAUUCGCAAGAACACCAGUGGCGAAGGCGGCUCACUGGCCCGGUACUGACGCUGAGGUGCGAAAGCGUGGGGAGCAAACAGG